AAAUCCCAGUCUUUGCUCAAAAGUCGCCCCUGGGGGCCACCCUACUUCGCAUUGCAAUCCACCCACCCUGCACGCCAGCACCCUCAGCGCCCCCAAAGCUGCUCUGUUUGGUGGUAAAGAAGGGCAUGGCAGUGUCCACAGGGAAAGAAGGCUGCCUGUUUUCAUGCCUCUAACAGCAAGGAGACAGGUCUGGAAGCGUCCAGCAGACUGUUCCCCCCGUGUCAUUGGCCAGAACUGCAUGACGUGCCCACCUCUGGCCCAAUUAGGAGCAGAGGGCUAGAACGACCAGGCCUGGCUGAGACCUGAGCUGGUCCCGCCUCCCCAAGGCCUGGGCCCUGUAGAGGGGAUCAGGGACACAGGAGGAGAGCUGGGGCUCUGCGAGGGAGAAGGGGAAGGAUGCGGGGGCAGCUGAGGGGUGUCUGCUGUGAGCUCCCUGAUCUCAUAUCUCAUUUAAUCCUUGCACCAGCCCGGUGGAGGAGGUGCUGUUGUUUCCUCCCAAUUUAUAGUGGAAUUUAAAUUGAGAUUAAAUCUAAAAGAUUAAAUGAUUUUCCCAGGGUCGGAAUCUGGAAUUUAACCCCAGAUCCUUCCAGGUCGUUUGAAGAGCCACUGUGCUGAACUGGGGGAGGUACCCCAGGGAUGAGGGGCCUGGUGACAGUGAUAACCAGACAGGGCUCCCCAGGAGUCAGGGAGAGGCAGGUGGAGAGGAGGUCUGAGUGCUCAGCUCCGCAAAACUGGUGGCCUAGCUGUGGAGCAGAGGGCGUGCUGACCCCCAGGCUGGGGCCUGAGCCUGGAACGAGGGCAGGACAGGAAGGGGGCAGCUCACUGAUGGAUGCCUCCAGCACAGAAGGUGGGGAUUUGAGAGAGGCUGCACACACGUAGCAGUGGCGGAAAAGAAGCCGAGGCGGAGAAGAUGUUUGGGGGGCCACUGGUAGCGCAGUGAGGGGAGGUCCAGGGGCCCUGGGCAGCCCUCCCUGUGAAGCCCAGUGAGCUGUCCAGCCCGCCUGGCCCUUGUGGCUCCAGCCCCUCUGGAGUCCUGGUGGCCAACUGAGGUCUGUCUUCUGGCUGAGCCCCUCACCAGAGGCUGGCUAAGGCCUCCCGCGCUUCCAUAGACCAACGAAGUCCAUCUACAGAGGACGAAAGCCAGGGAAUGCUCAGCUGCAACAGCCCCUAGAGCCCGGCUGGCAGGAACAGGAAGGGGGCUCCCGGGCUGGGUGUGGAAGUCAGUGGAGACCAGCGACAGGACUGCGGGAGGUGUAGUGGGCAAAACAGAUGGCCCUCCGCGCCGGCCCGGCACAGCACGGCUUCCCCGGAACACUGCCCCUCCCCGGCCGCCCUGGAGGCCAGGGACCCCCAUUCAGGCUGCAGUGUCCAACCUGCAGGGUGGAGAGGGAGGGGCCCUGGGUUCUGGAAAAGGCAAACUGCUGAGGCCCCCCCCAGAAGCAGGGAAUUCACGCCUUCUGCCUGCUCUUACUAGGCAGCCUGGGGCUUCCUGCUGUGGGAACCUCAGGUCUGGGGGAGGAAUGGGGAAGACUUAUGGAAAAGGGGGGUCUCUGUGCUGCACCCAAAGCCAGAUUCCCAGUGGCCGAGAAGGGGUGGAAGGAGCCCCCGCGCUGAGGUGCCGAUGCUCACUGCUUUCAUCAGAGCAACUCAAACGAGGCUUCUCCUUUCUCUCCAGAAACGGGGGCUGAUUGCAGGGCGUUGUGUAAAGCAUCAAGGUCUGAGCUUGUAUCUGUGGUUUAAAGUCCGGCCACACACGCUGGCAACGUGCCGGUAGGAAACGAGUGAGCGCCUCACCCCAAGCUGGCCCAGGCAGGGGGGUGGACGCCCCUGGCACAGACCUCCCAGUGGAGGCCUGUGCCGGUGAAUGGAGAGCAGCGGCCUGAGUUGGUCCCUUGUGUCCCGCAGAAAAUGGGCUCUGUGUGGGGUGUGAGAGGGAGGGGCCGUCGCCGUUGGAUUUGGGGUCUGUGUCAAGCAGCCCAACAGAGGUGGGGCUGGGGACCCCGAGGCAGUGAAGGGAAAGGGCCGUCAGCCCGUGAAGGAACUUCUGAGAAUCCAGGUCCUUCACGGUCCUUGGGGGCAGCACAUAAAGCAGGGCUGGGGGACGGGAAGCCCAGGUCUGCCCCUCCCCUCCUCCCGGCCUCGUGUCCUCCUUUGUCUGAAGGGUCUGGGGGCCGGGUGUUGCCACCACACAGAUGUACUAGCAAAGUUCCUGGACUCCUUGCUGUCCUCGUGAGCCACAUAAAACCAGCAGGGGUUUUAGGCGAGCAGGCAGAGGCAAGACGAGAGUAACCAUCCUCUUAAAGGCUCUUCAAACACUCCACCAACUCGCAGUGUGUGCAUGAUUCCUAGACAUGCUGGACCCUCCACGUGGGCGGCAGGGUGUGGAAGUGAAACGGAGCCCACCCACCCUGAGGGCCAACUGUGCCCCGAGACCGUCCCUGGGAUCGGGGCUGUGUGGCCCCCUUCGCAUCUGCUCCCAAAGCCCAGGGCAGCACCUGAUACCCAAGGGUGACGAGUCCCUGGCCGUGUCGUGAGGCCCGGGCCAGCUUCUGACCUCAGUUUCCACAGCGCAAAGGCUGAGCGUGUCCGCUGUGGUUUGAGAAGCAUGUUUACAGACAUCAGCCCCUCAAAGGAGACCGGUCUCUGCAGCCCAGGGCACCCUUGACACUGCAGCCCACGCUCAGUGGCUGUGAUCCGCCCAGUGGGCUGGGAGCUGAGCUGUGAGGGGCAGGAAGCAGAGUGGCAGCUUUCUGUGCAGGUCACACCUCCUCACCUGGCCGUGACCAAGGCCAGCUCCUGGGCAUCAGUCGGGAAGCCACUCGGGUAACCUGGGCAGGAGGCACCAGACUGUGAAAGUUGGAGACGUCUAAGGAUGGCCUAGAGGCUACUGCAUGCCUGUGGUGUCACCAGCAGGGCCUGGCAAUCAGGCUGCGCUCAAGGAACACUGAGCCACGUGAGCGUGGGGCUGGCCUCCGCAGGUGGCCACGUGCGGGUCCAGAGGCCGAGCCAGGGAGAAAUCACAGCCUCCAUCUCACAAUGGAAACAUCAGGUUAAAACAAAGAACAUGGCUCUCCCUCCCUUCUAGCAAUCCUUGAAAAAUAUCUUGCAAAACUAAGGUUGUUUCUACCCAACUCACUGUUCCUUUGAUUCAUUCAUGCCCCACUCAGUUCCCCUCCUGUCAAUCAGACAUCUCCGGUGCACAGUGGGCUCUGAAGAAGAGAUGGAAGUGGCAGGCCCCAGGUCCAAGGUAAAGAUGCGCUGCGUUGGCCGUGAGUGUUGUCACAAGGCACACCUGGUUCCAAUCCUGGCAGGCCCCUGCCUGUGUGUCCCCACUGCAGAAGGGGGACUAAUAGUGGCCUCAGAGUUGGUGCCGCGCAAGGGAGGGAGGUCCUCCUGGUACCCUCGAGAACACUGUCUCCGUCGUCCCAUUUGAUAGACACAAAUACCCCAGUGAGGAAUACAGGAAAGGCGUCCCAGAGAGCGGCUGACCUCACGCAGUUCCUCUGUGACACCGGACCUCAGGCAGGUCCACACACCCCAGCAGGAAUCUCCUUGGUCUGCUUAGCCCCCGUGAUACCGUUCAGAUGGGGACAUCCAAAGCGACCCCUCUGCCCCCAACUGCUUCUUUUCCAGACACCUGUGGGGGCAUCUCGGCCUCUUCUCCAUUUCUUUUCUAGCACUUACCAUAAUCUGUAAUUGUUUAUUUGUGGGUGCUGUUGGCUCCCUCUGCUUUUCUGCAGGUGCCCUUGGGGAGGGGCCUCGUCUGUCUUGCUUCCUCUCGGCCCCAUUUCCUCGAUGUUCUCAGUGGGCUAGACCUGGGCGGCAUCUCCCUUCCAGGACCGAUAUUUAGAAACUGUCUCCAGGCAGUAAGCUGGGGCAGCCGUACCGCUCACCUUCUCUGUUUUUGUUUCGUUUUGUUUUUUGACUGCGCUGCACAGCUUGUGGAAUCUCAGUUCCCCCCACCAGGGAUUGAACCCCGGCCACAGCAAUGAAAGCCCGGAACCCUGAUCACUAGGCCUCCAGGGAACUCCCACCUCCUUUGUUUCUUGUCUCUCACUGCCUUUUGUUGCCUUGAUGUCCGUUGUUUUGAGACCAUUGUUUUGUAUAUUUGGUACAUCUUUUGGAUGUUGGGAGGGGAUGGGUAGUGAUGCCAACUCUGGGCCUUGUUACUCCACCUUGGCCGGAAGCUGCAGUCCCAAAUAUAAGCUUUUAACGCUGCAUUUCUUGACUGAAAAGACAGCAGCUACUGCGAAAAAGCAAAACUGAGUCCGUGUUGUUCUAAAUCGCUCUCUGGUUGCCGGGCUCAUUAUCUUUACAGGCAUCAGGGGUGUUUAAUGAAUACAGCAGACAAAGCCUCAUUGAGUCCCAGGAGAGAGGGUGUCGUGACCCCUGAGAUAUCAUGACAGCUCCUGCCUGUCUGUCGUGUUUGCAGAAUCUUGGCAGGGAGCGAGGGGGAGUGACAGAGAAGUCAGCUCCACGACAGCCUCGUGUCAGGGGCUUCACGCUCUGGUGGCCUCAGCACCCUCCUCCGUCUGACCACCUGCCUCUCACAAGGCGUCACCCUCCCCUUGAACCUUGGCGCCGAGUGGCUUCCUCUCCUCGGCCACAAGUGACCUUCCCCUUGCACAUCAGCACCUCCUGUGUCUCCUCUCCUCUUGGAGCCUGCCGUCUCCUUGAGCAAGGUGAUCAGGUCUUGGGCAGCUGGCAUUAGACCCGGGAAGGGCACAGUUUACAUCUAAUUCACCUCUGUACUCCCAGCUCCUAGCACGGUGCCAGGCACAGAGGGUGAUUAGUAAAUGUGUGGUGGAUGAAUGAACAAAUGAAUGGAUGAGUGAGAACCUUCAUGAUUCUGUCUUCUCGAAUAUGAGCCAUCCGUCUGCCCACAGGGUAAAUGGUCUUAUCACAUCUGGAAAGGAGUACUGGCCACGCCCAAUGAGAAGGAAGUUCAGGCAGGGGCAGACCUGGCCUGCAGCCUGAAGAUCCUGGGGUCCUAAUCCUGGCCCCUGGGAAAGCUGCUUGAUCCCCAGCCUCAGCAUUUAUUCUCUUUUCUGAAAUGACACCUCCUAGGCUUCCUCAGACUCCGACAUCCCCUGAUCUUUUCUAAUGUAAAAGGCAUGAGUCAAGCAAGGAUAAAUAAGGAUGCAUUCUUUGAACACAAUAGCUGUUUUCUUGGCAAAAUCCAAGAUUUAUGCCUUGGACUGUUCACAAAACACCUCCCUUGCUUGGGGUGGUUUCCUCACAUGCAAGUGGUGAGCAGUACACUGCUGAAUAUUAGAGGGGGACCCUCUGCAGAAGGACCCUCUAGAACAAACCUCCCUGCUUUCAUUAUCAACUGUGUUUGAAAAAAGUCAGCAAGAAGGAAAUUCCCACCUCAUUAACAGCGAAUAUAAAGGAAAGAACAUCACGAGACGCACUCUGAAAUUUAGCGUCUAAUUCCAAACGAAGUUUAGAAUCAACCCUUUCUUCUGUUUCAAGUUGAUGGAAUUUCUCAACAGGGGCCCUGGUGGCAUUCUGGAGGGACAAGUCUACCUUGCGUGGGAAUAUCCGGGUCACUGUUGUUAAUAUCCAUAGCUGCUAGGCGACCAAAGACAGCCCCCACACCCGGAUUUCCAAAUGCCCCCAGGAGGGAUGCUGCCCCUGGCUGAGGCCACACACUGGUAGAUGAAUGCCCUGGCCAUGGGAGUGUUGGGUAAAUUGUGGGCCACUGGUGUGAGGGUUACCAUGGGCUGCAGGCUUGACCCUGGACACUUGCCCAGAGGUGUCAUAGCCUGGGUGGUAGAAUGGACAGAAAACAAAAUUGCUUCCCUUGGCAGUGAAAAUGCAAACCAUUGGGGGCCGGGACCCCGUGUAUCUGGUUGCUCUUCUGAUUCUCCAGCAAUGACCACUGUUGUGGGGAAUAUCUGUCCCCAGUCACCCUGGGGAGACUGAGCGAAGCCAGAGGCACCCCCAAGAUGAACAAUGAGGGGGAAGGAUUUUGUGUUUGAUAUUUCACAGAAAAAGCACUGAAGAAGUUCAUCAUGGGGAAAAAUGAGAAUCCUUUCGGAUUGCCUCUCCCUUAUUCUAGAGUGUGUUCCCCUUUUGAAUUCUAUAUUCUCUAUCUCUUCAGUGUUGCACUUUCUAAAGGCCGGCUUUCACCGGGCUGAGAGCAGCCGUGUGGCUCAGUGACAUCCUGUUCCAGUCAUUUCUUAGGAUGCUUUUCUGAAUCUGCUUGGUUUCUGUGUGGAUCUGAGCUCCACCUCUGGGGACCUUGCACCUGUUAAUGGGGCUUUAGCACCUGUUCCCUGGGAAGCACAUAAAGGCUUCCUGGAUCUCCUAAUCCAGAUGCAACAAUGCCACAAUUUGAUAACAGUUUGGUAACCUGUAACCCCUCCCUUCUCUCCAUUUUUCCUUGUUCCCAACAGGAGUAUACAAGAGUACAAGCACUUGGGGAAAACAGCACGGCAAUUCCUUACAAAGUUAAUCAUACACAAACCACAGGAUCCAGUGAUCCCAUUCCUAGGUGUUUAUCCGAGAGAAACAGGAACACGUGUCCAUAUCAAGAAACUCCCAACGCUACCUCGUGUCCCACUGAGGAAAGCUGGUGGUCGGGGCCGGUGAUCAUCAUCGCGGUCUGUUGUGCCUCCCUGGUGUUUCUCACUGUGCUUGUCAUCAUUUGCUACAAAGCCAUAAAGAGGUGAGUGCUCACCCAGCUCUGAGCCCAGAGGGGAGCCCAGCUGGGCUCAGGGGUCCUCUGCCCACCCCCAUUCUGUUUUUGGUUGUUUUUUAAUAAUAAAAAUUGUUAAGCGUUUAAGAAGCAGAAAGAAUGUACAGUGAACACCCAUCUACCUUCACCUCGAUUCAACAGUUACCAAGAUCUGGCUAAUAUUUACUCUCUUUCCUUUUCUUUGUACCUUUUUAUUUGCUGAAGUAUUUAAAGUUGAUCUCAGAUAUUAUGCCCCUGUCCUUUUAGGGGGUUCAGCGAGCAAUUUGAUGAGCGCCAAUUAUAUGUCAGGCUCGAUGCGGUAUAAAGCUCCCCUAUCCGUAAGUCGCAGGCCCUGCUGUGAAAAGCUGUCUCCAGGCCUGGGAGCAUGGAAAUAAUCCUUGCAGGGUGGGUGAUGGAGCGGCUGGAGGGGGUGCCAUGCUGGUUUGGAGUGGGAACUGGGUUUCGGAGUCCGAUCUAAAUUCAGACUCCAGUUCAAGCUGUGUGACCAGGAGGAACUCAGCUCUCUGGCCCUCAGUUUCCCUAUUGGUAAAAUGGGAGUCAAGAAUAACGGUCUCACCCUGGGGAACGGUGAGAUGCCUUCUGUGAAUGGCCUGCAUAAUAUGUAUACUCUGCAGUGCCUGGCAUACAGUACGUGCUCACCAAGUACUGCACCAACUUUCACUGUUUCCAUAGUCAAAGACAGAGGAAGAAGGCUGACAGAGGAGGGAGCGAGGUUCUCUUGGGAGGAGAGGUAGUGAUGCCUCAGAGAAGGUUUUCCGUGAAUGUGCCACCUCAGCUGGGUUUUGAAGGAUGAAUAGGAGUGUUCCAGCAGGAUCAUGAAUGAUCCAAACAGCAAAUUAUCUUUCAAUAACACUCUCCGUCAUUUCUGUUAACUACCAUCUCACUUGAGUUGGGGUGUGCAGCUCAAUAUGGUUAUUGUUGGGGCCUGAAGAGGUUUGAGGUGUGUCCAGGGUCCUAAGUACGGCAGAAUAGGCCACGGUGUGACCCCCCCUGCACUUACAAUACAGUAGCUCUGGCUAUGUCCUUUGAUUUCCAGUUCUUAGCCUCCUCCAAAAAAAUGGCCUCCCUGGCCUUGGGGGAUGUUAGGGGAAGAUAAAAAUCAAAAGACAAACAAUAAUGUUGCAAAACGCCAGCGGGCCAUAGGGAUUGUUAAUAUGUUUUUAAGAAAGUUUUUAAAAAAUUCCCUAAGGCCCAAAGUUAGAGGAUCUAUUCUGAGCAAUCAUAAGACCAAAGUUAUUUAACUUUACCCUUUUAGUCGGUUGUUCUGUGUGAUUUCACUUUAAUCAUUCAAAAGCAGAAAGAGUAAAAUAUCAAAAGUCUUAACAUGCAUAUGGUCAGGGCUGCAUCAGGCCAACAGCCUGGGAGUGUCCUGGUGACCAGGCAGGAAAGGCAGAAGGCAUGUGAACUCUGAUGGGGAUGAAACAGCAUUUGAGCUGAGAGCCUGCUGCAGCGGGAGGACGAUUUUAAGAAGCAGAGCAGGGGAGGCAUUCCAGGCACCAGGAAGCCCCUGUGACGGGGCAGAUGAGGCUGGAGGGAACCCUGAGCCCGACGGCGGAGGCGUCUGUCCCACCAGGCGAGCUGUUGGCCCGUGAUUCAGUAGACACAGGGAGCUACUGAAGGUUCUGGGGGAACAGUGUGCAGGACCCACCUGGGGCACUGCCAGAGAACGGGGCAGCAGUCCCCUCAAGGACCCUCCUUCCCCCAGAGACAGGCUGCAGCAUCUUCUUAAUAAGCUCAGGCACUUCCAAAAGAUACAGCGUCGCUUCUGCCUCUCUCUCUCUGCCCCAAACUCUCCUGAAGAAAUGGGCUACCUGCUCCAAGGGCAGGAGGGCAGGGCGAACCAAUCAGAAGAAGUUGACGGUCACAGCUCCGCACCGUGGCGUUGAGGCCAGCGGCGGCCUUGUUUCGGCGGAGCGGCGGCCCUCACAGGUGUGUGGAGGCCCCGCCCUCACCUCCUUGGAGCAACCGGAGGGGCCUCCCGUCUCCUUCCGCUGGCUCUGGGCUCUUGGUUCCCGGGUCUGUCAGCCGCCUGGAAAGACAGAGAACUCACCCAGACGGCUCAGUGGAUCCCUUCCAUGGUGUGGCUGGGACUCCUUCCCGGAGGGUGGGCGGGGCUUCCUCCCAGGGGUGUGGGCGGGGCUUCCUCCAGGGGGUGUGGGCAGGUCCACCGAGCGGUGGAAUUCGUGAAGCAUUUCAGGACUAAAAGCGGUGGGAGCUCUUAGCACCCCUAGGACAACGGAAAUAAUACAAGGGGGAACCUAGAGAGCCCGGAGACUCGAAAGAAGGGCUAAUCAGCAGGACCUGUGGUUGGAACUGCGGGAGAUGCAGCCCCAAAACAGCAGGUGGGGGGGAGAAAACUCCCCACCCUUUCUUUCUCCAGGCUCCCAGGUCUCCUGGAGGUGCCUCCCAUUGGCCAAACCCAAGAAACAGAGGAGCCCAGGAGAUACUGCAUAGGUGUCAGCCUCCCGGGCCCACGUAGUAAACGGAGCACAGUCCCUCUUCUGCCCCAGCGCCCAGAUCAGCAACCUCCUCUGGGUGAAGACCCAGCCGUCUGCCGUCCAGACCCUCACAGUCCAGAGAGGGCAUCCCUGGCGCAGGAGGACAGAUAAUCAGUGACAGGAGGGGCUGCUACUCACGGUCAGUGGGGGCAGAAAUAGAGGCCAGUUCUCCCAGAAGCCUCCUGGAAGGAAGCUUGACCUGGGGAAGGUGAGUUGGGGGAGGAGCAGCAGAAGCUACGCCCGGUGUAGGAGAGCAAAUGCCCCCUCCCGGCUCCCCCAGUUGACCCUUUAAGAGAUAGCCUGUCGCAGGCAGCUGUCUGUGCAUUUCUCUCCCGAGUAAAUGGAAGAUUUCUUGCUCACAGUCAAUUCUUUUUGGUUAAUAAUUCAUCUGAAACAUGCCUUUUCUCUCAGGAAACAAAAGCAUUGCAUGUCGCUAUAAAACCAUUGAAAGGAAAAUUCAGUGAUAGACCCUGCUUUCUUAAAACAAACACUGUCACAGCCUGGAGUCCUAGGGGAGGAUUUCCAAGAGAUCUUUGUGAAUGGCCACAACACAGCCUUUUGGAGGCAGAUUGCUGGGAGGACGGUUCUAGGAUCAGCUGGGAUGGGAAGGAGAUGAUUCUGGAGAUGCCAGCUCGGCUUGGCAUGUGGGUUGUGGCCGCAGGGAUGAGAGAGACGGGGUGGGGGGGCAGAUGCAGAAGGAGCACCCCCAUGGUGCCCUCACUGGGCAUUGACCUCGAUGGGAGGUGGGGUCUACUUAGCACGUUCCACACACAGACUCAGUGACUCAAACGUCAUCCUGUGACUCAACUAAUGUUCCCAAGGUCCCAGCUCUGUGCUGGGAGGUAAGGUGCUCAAGGCAUCCAGGUUGGGAGAUCCCAGAGGAAGGGGCGCCUCACCUGGACCUGGGGGCUUGAGAAGUUUUUUGGAAGGAGAUGGGCAUCCCAUGUGUUAGUCAGUGGGACUAACACGUACAGUGGCCCCCAAGUCCCCUGUCAAUAACCCAAAUUCUGGAGGGUUCCCAGCCGUGGGGAGCCCACGCGGUCUGCAUUUCAGUAGCUCCUUGCUCUGAGCUUGCUGUGACCACGGGAUGGUCAGGCCCCAGAGCCCUUGGGCGUUCUGGACCUCGUGCUCCAUCCAGGCCGCUUCCCCACCCCAGGCCUGGCAUGUACCCGUCAUCAGACAACAGGACAGCCUGGAGCUGUUAAAAGAACCCAGAACUGGGAGUCAAGACCCCCGCGUUCUGUUCCCAGCCCCAGCCCAGCUCAGUGGGUAUCACUGCCCUCAUCUUCAAAGUGAGGGUCCCUCAAGCCUCUCUCCGGUUCCCUGAGCCUUUGUUUCUCUGUCCUGGCAUGGCAGGCAGACCACUGCCACUAGGUCCUUCCACCGCCCAGACGUGUAAAUGCUGGGCCAGGGGCCAGGGCUGUGCUUGGCCUGGGCGCUUUGGUGGUGGGUGCUUCAGGCACAGCCCCUGUCUUCACUGCACACAUCCCUAGGGGGAGAAGUGGGUGUUAGAUUGCCCCCCAAAGGACCGGGAAUUACAAUGGGAGAGGACUGCCUGCAGGGGAGACCAAGGCUCUGUGAGCAGGGACGACAGAAGAACCUCUUGGUCUAGGGCGGGACAAGGACCUCAGACAAGCCGGAGUCAGCGAGAGGCAUGGAGAUCAAGCUCCAAGGUGUGGGGUGCCCAGUGCCUGGGUAGGAGGGCCAGGUGGCACCCCACAGGCCUGUGGGCCCUCAAGAGUGAGGUCGUUCUCCUAGGUGGGUUUGCAGCUUCUCUGCCGGCCACACCCUUCAUGCAGACGCCUGCGUUGCAGAGAUGGCCUCACCCCUCCCAGCCCCCUCCCUUGAGCUACCCCCACUCCCAAGGCACAGGAAGAACACCUUGCUUCCUUUGCUGGUGCAUGGCACGGGUCUUUCACCCUCUGCCACCGAUUUGCCAUUAAGCCACUCGACAACCAUUUCCUUCUAAUUUACAGGGUAUUGGCUGAAAGACCAAUAAAAGGCUGCAGAACAGUUUGGCCUAUCCUGCAGGCUGCUAAUUGCAGACAAUAAGCAAGCAUGCUGCUCCCUGGGAGUACGCUGCGGUGUGCACACGUGUGCCUGAGAGUGCCUGGGCACCCGCAUCAUUGCUGGGCUCCCGUGCACAUCAGCUUUUCGUGGUUGAGUUGCUUCCAGGAGAACAGACACUUUUGAACACCCAAGUCUCCUUGAUGGGCCUUAGAACCCACUGACCGGCAUAGGCUGCUCAGUGAGCCAGUGCUGGACCACACAUAUUUAUCGAGCACCUACUAUGUGCUGGGACCUAGACUAGAUGUCAGGGAUGUAGCGAUAAACAAGACUGGGUCCCUGCCCGCCCCCUCCUUCUGGGGGAAGCAGAUCAAACAUACACACACUGACAAAUUAAUAAAUGAAGUGCUUUAAAAGACUGAGUGCUAUGAAGAGGAAAAAAGAGAGCCUCGGGGUAAUGAGGGAGAGGAAGAGAAGGGGGUGGGAGAGGUGCUUCCGCUACCCCAAGUGUCAGGAGUGCCGUGCGUGCCUCUUGAGGCGGCUUUAUGGUUAGAAAGUAUGCUUAGGGCUUUGAACGUUCAUUAUCACUUUUUAAUUUAAUUUUUAUUUUUAUUAAAGCAACACAUGCGCAUAGUUAAAAAUGUCAAAUGAGUCACAGCCUAUUAAGAAAACCAGCAGCCCCCUGAUUGUCCCUCUUUCACCCCAAAUCUCAUUCAUAAGAGGCAAGCACUUUUUUUUUUUUUUUUUUGGCUGUGUUGGGUCUUCGUUUCUGUGCGAGGGCUUUCUCUAGUUGCGGCAAGCGGGGGCCUCUCUUCAUUGCGUUGCGCGGGCCUUUCACUGUCGUGGCCUCUCUUGUUGAGGGGCACAGGCUCCACACGCGCAGGCUCAGUAGUUGUGGCUCACGGGCCUAGUUGCUCCGCGGCAUGUGGGAUCUUCCCAGACCAGGGCUCGAACCCGUGUCCCCUGCAUUGGCAGGCAGAUUCUCAACCACUGCGCCACCAGGGAAGCCCGAGGCAACCACUUUUGGGUGUUCGUUGUUCCUUCUGGUAUUUCCCUGCAUAUUCUAAGUGAUGUGGAUACUCUAUUUACCUUUUCUUUCAAUCUGAAACAUUAUCAAUUGACUUUUCACUAUAGCAGACACAAGGUUCAGGACCCUAUCACUACCCACAGACGUACAAAGCACUUCCCCGCUUCCCAUCCGCUUCCUAUAGGUGUCUCCUGUGAGAGGUUCAGUGACUAGCCAGUGUCUCCCUUAGUAAGUGAUAAUGUAAACAUUGAUCCCAGCUGACUGAACUAUGAUUCGUUUCCUUCCCUGGAGUGAGCAAUGCCUCUUCCCAAUAUGGUCAAAUACAUCAGGUGAUCAAUCUGUCAGUUCCAUGUUUGUCUUGGAGAUCCGUCCUCCUCUGCAGGUGGAUGGUAGCUCUCUGGGCUUGAUGCACAGCUGUUGCAUUCUCCAGCAGCCUUCCAAGCUCCCCUCUGGGAACUUGCUGCCCUCAGCUCUCUCCCUCUCCUUCUCCCACUCCAGUUCUUUAUUUCUUUAGCUUGACUCCAUCGUGGAAUUUGUCCUAGAUCUUUCCUGAAUCAUAGACUCGAGAGCGAGUCAGUUUAGUGAAGUUAGUUUUCUUUUUAGAAUUGACGUGCUUUCUGGAGCUUUGGGAUGGCCCAGAAGAGGGUUAGCUCUUACUGAGUGUGUGGCAAGUCAAGAAGACCUGGUUCCCAGGCAGCUGGAAUGCCAUGGAGGAGGGCAAAGGAGAUUCCUGUGAUGUCUGAGCCACAAUAAACCUCCGUGGUCGUAGGAGGAAGCUGAGACCUGGAUGGGGACGAGACGUGGCUCAGGUCACAGAGGGGUCCAGCCCUCGUCUCACAUUCUUUGAGGAUGCAGGGAGUUGCCCUCCUGGCUUCCAGCUGAGUCCUUACUGCUCACUCAGGACCCAGCUCAAACACACCUCCUCGGACAUGGCGCCCUGGGCUGGGGUAGAUCUUUCUUCCCCGCCAAGUGCUAGAGUUGUAGCUCUCCCUGGAUUUACAUUUCUGCUUUCUGCUCUAGGUCAGUUAAUGUUGGUGUUUGCAUGUGCAUGUGCUCGUGCACGAGUGCGUGAGUGACUAUGCACACGCACGCACACGCACACAACAGGCACAUUAGACGGGGGAGUGGUCGUCCCGUCUCACUCAUCUCCUCUCUCUCCUCCACAGCGCCUGGCACACGCCUGGCAUGUGGUACUCUUCCAUGACUUCCUGUGGUGCGAAUGGAGGCUUGUUUGUACAGACUUGCCAGAGUCUGCCUUUAAAAAUGACAAACUCUAUGUACAAUUUCAGUAAACUUAGUCUUUUUGUUCCUCUCCCUCUGGGUGAGUGAAGUAGGAUCUGCUCUUAGAGUGAAUAAUGUGUGCACGGUUUUAAUGCCUGGCCUCACCCCUUCAUCAGCUUCCUGACCGUCUGCCAUGUCUGCCCCCUCCCGCCAAGCCCCUUCCCGGUACCCAAGAUCCAGUGCUCGCACACUGACUCAGCAGCCCCCUGUCACGCCCGAAGAGGCCUGGCCUCCCUGCCACGCGCACAUGACACACUCUCAGACUGAGACUGCCUCAGAGGAGGCAGGCCCUGCCAUCUGCCGCCUCCCCUUCCGCCCCAGAGGACACGCCCAGCAGCCCAGCCCUCUCUUCCCUGGCCUCUGCUGAGCUGCCUAGUCAGGGUCAGAGCAGGGGCCAGAGGAAGACCAGGUGGGCUGGGUUCAGGAUUCGGAACAGGAGUGGAACCUCUUCAUCCAGCCUCAACUUGCCAUGAACUUCCAGGAGCAAGAAAUUCACCUCGAAUCCAUCUUGCAUCCCUGGGGUCUUGAGACUGAGGUUAUCUUUUGCACCAACACCUCUUGGGACAGGUGGGGGCCUAAUGCAGUGAUUGGGUGCUUGAGACCCAGCCUUUCCCGUCUGCCACUUCUAUAGCAGUGCCACUCCCCCCAGGCCCCCAAAUCCAGCCUCUCUGGCUGGAAUUUGAGACUCUCAUGUCUGGCUGUACCGUGAAUUAAGUUAAAAGUAGUACGCUCCAGGGAGGGACCCUUUUGGCAUCGGUGUUGAGCACAGAUGCAUGGCUGUGCUCAGAAACCGUCUGACUUCCUUUGGGACCUGGGCUGGAUUCAGAGAGCUGAUUCCAGUGCUUUGCGGCAGGACCAAGACUCAACCGUCUAACUCCCGGGCCAGCACUCCUUCCCCUGAGCCACGCUGCCAUCCUCUCGGCUGUCCCAGUGGUGGGACCAACACACAGAUUUCUUCUGAGUCCCAGAUGCCACAGGAUCUCUCAUUAUUUUUACCAUCACCACACCUCUCCCUCCAAGAAGAGACUGGGCCCAGAAGGGGCUGGGGCGCAGGGUGUCCUGACCUGCCCUGGGCUGAGAUACUUACUUGGGCUUAUUUGUGCUUCUCCCCCGCCCCAUAGGGGUCCACAUGCUGUGGCGGGUGAUGGAAUCCCAUCCUGGUGGUAGGAGGCGGGCUGUAGGGACCAGCUGCUCUGUCUGCCCGGGAUCCUCGGGUCAGGAGCCCUGUGGGGUGCACCAGCGGAUGGGAGACUCAGACGGGUCCCUGCUUCUUAGGCCUUCUUUUGUCACCAGGAAGCUCCAUCCUCCCUGAACUCGUCUCUCCAGACAUUGGGGCAAGGCCAUGGGGCAGGGUGAGGGGUAGACAGGAAUCCCCGAUACAAGGAGUCCUCUGAUGGCUCCCACUGCACUCAGAAUAAGAUCCAGAUGCCUGGUCCUGCCAGCCAGGUCCCGUGGAGGACAUGAGUCCCAGAGCCUCCCCAGUGCCAUCCUUCGACUUGCUCAGCAGAUGUGGCCAAACAAGGAAGCCCUGGUGGUUGGUGGGGGGACGGUGAGCACAGGGGACGCGACUGGAGUGCGAGGUUCCCCAGCCACAUGGCUGGCUCGCCGUCCCCUGGUGGUGGCGGAGGGUGCGGGGCGGGAAGUGGGGCUGCUGCUCCUCACGGUCAGGGACGCCCUCUGUGGCCCAGAAAGGCUUUUCUUUGGCUUCUUGACGAGGUUUGGAGAAAUCUGCAGUCUACAGAGGCGUCUCAUGGUAGAACCCUGUGUGUGUGUGUGUGUGUGUGUGUGUGUGUGUGUGUGUGUGUGUGUGUGAUAUACGUGUGCAUGUGUGUGUAGUAUGUGUAUGUAUGUGGGGGCAUGUAUGAGUGUAUAUGUGUGCAUGUAUGUGUGGGUUUGUUGUGUGUGCAUAUGGGUGUGUGUGUGAUGUGCGUGCAGUGUGGUAUGUGUGGGUGCAUGUGUGCGUAGGUAUGUGUGUGUGUGUCCGGAGUGGGCUGUGGAGAGGAUGAAUGCCUUUGGAAGAGGGGGUCUGAGACCUCCAACCUCACUUCGCUGAGAAUGACCCUCCGUGGGGUGCGUGAGACAAGAAACCAGCCGACAGCCUCCCUCUCGAGCCCUCAGAGCUGUUCUUCGCUUCCAGUUACCCCCAGAGCAGGGGCUGCGGGUGGGGCCUGUGGCAGCCUUGCCGGCGUUGACCGAGAGGGCUCCGCCCUGCCCAGGCUGGACCAGCCGCUGUUCCGCAGGCAGUGAGGCAUCGGCGCCGCCCUCCAAGCAGAGAACGGGGGGCCCCCUGUGCACCAGGCCGGGGUGGGGUGGGCGUGGGGUCUCAAGGUGGGAGACCUCACCCUCCGACAGCUGGGAGUCGGGCACAGAGCCAAGGAAGCGCUCACUUCCCUUUCUCUUGGUUUUAGGAACCAGGCCAUGUAGGCAGCCGUUUGCGCCCAUCUCUUCCCACACAGACCGGGUGGAAAGGCCUUUCUUUGGUUUAGCGGGACCUCCCCGGCUGGCUCACGGAGGGGCCCGGCUGGGUCCGCACGAGCCUCCCUAGCACUUCAGGAGCCCUGCAGGGCGCACACUAGGUGGGAAGUCUGUGCGGACUGGAGACCGCUGGCUGCUCCCCGCUGACCCCUUUCCAACCGCAGUACUGAGAGCUAACACACACUUACGGAGCGCUUACUGUAUGCCAGGUGCUCAUCUAGGGGCUUGACACGAAUUAACGUAUUUAAUCCUCCCCACGGGCCUAUGAAAUGGACACCAUUAUUGUGCCCAUUUUAUAGACCAGGAAACUGAGGCCUAGAGAGGUUAAGUGGCUUGCCCAAGGUCACACAGCUAGAAAGUGGUGGAGCUGGGUUUACUGAGCCUGAUUCUUCCUCCCAGCACUUCUGCAGCGUCACCCUGAAGAGCCGUGCUUAGAGAGAGGACGGAGAUGGGGUUCAAGGCAGAGGCUUGUCCUGCCGUAGGUAAAACUCCAGCUUCCACCGGGCUCCAGUGAACCCCGGAAGGGCUUCAGGACUGGGCUCCCCAGGGAGCAGAGUGGACGGGGGCUCAGCUCCAGCGGGGAGGGGGGCAGACCAAGUUCACUUCUCAGAAAAGCCCUUGGGGCAGCUACUUCUCCCCUCAGCGCACCCAGGCCCUGGGACUGCUCCUGAGGCAGUGUUGCGCCAGCCAAAUGUUGCCUUCUUUGCUGGGUGGAGCCGCUGCCGAGACCCCCUUUCCUGUCUGGGAAGCUGGCUGAGUCACUGAGGAGGCCCUGGAGCUCUCUCCUGGCCCUGCCCCCAGUGUCCCUCCAGCCACUCCCUCUGAGCCACCGUUGCCCCCAAGGCCCCGGGAAUGCAAAGGGGUCUCCCAGCCAGCAACCUGCGUUAGCAAUGUCUCCUCUCCUCCUGACAGAAGGAAUCCUGCUCAGUUCCUACCUACUCCCUAAAAAGGGCAGGAAGGGCUUCCCUGGUGGCGCAGUGGUUGAGAGUCCGCCUGCCGAUGCAGGGGACACGGGUUCGUGCCCCAGUCCGGGAGGAUCCCACAUGCCAUGGAGCGACUGGGCCCGUGAGCCAUGGCCGCUGGGCCUGCGCGUCCGGAGCCUGUGCUCCGCAACGGGAGAGGCCACAACAGUGAGAGGCCCGCGUACCGCAAAAAAAAAAAAAAAAAAAAGGGCAGAAACUCUGUGCCCUCCAGGCUUUGUCCAUUUCCCUGUGAGUUCCAGGACCCCUUCAUCUCUUCAUUAUCCACCCCGCUUUUUUUCUUUUUUUUGGCUGUGCCACGAAGCAUAUGGGAUCUUAAUUCCCUGUCCAGGGAUCAAACCUGUGCCCCCUGCAGUGGAAGCGCAGAGUCUUAACCACUGGACCACCAGGGAAGUCCCUCAUUAUCCACCCUUGAAGGCCCUUAAGCCUCAUCUCCCCUGCCCUGGACCCAUUGCAGCUGAGUUUUCAGACCUAGCCCAAGAGUGAAUAUUUAUUAGGGAGAAAAACAGAAAAAUCUUUGGGCCCAGAGAUUUUUGCCUCUAUUUUCUGGAACCCUGAUUCUGAUGAAAUCCCUCUAUAUUAAUGAUAAAUUUAGGAAUCUCACUUAAGUCCAUCGGUGGCCUCAUGUUAGGGGCAACAAAGGAUCCUACUGUAAGAAUAUGCAUCCCCACACCCGAUUUUCCAGGCUGGGUAAAACUCCCUGAGUCAGAAAUCAAGCCCACCCAGCGAGGUCAGAGCUGCUUGAGGCCCCUGGAAAGGGGUGGGUGGGACAGGAGGAAAGGUAAAGGAGACGGAGGGAGAAAGGCGCAGGGAAGAGGUCAACUCAGAGUCCGUCAUUUCCAGGAGCCCAUCACAAACACGGCAACUUGUCUGAGCCCUUUCUGAAUUCCAGACAGUGUCUGUGAGCAUCUACAUAGAUGGGGUGUUCAGACCCUAGAACAUAGCAUGUGCUGGGUUAAAGCAAAAUGCGACAGGCUUCUGGGAGGACUCUUGAGAACCCUGGGGAAUCUCCAAGAGGAGGACGGAGGAGGGCCUUCCUAAGGUGAUUGGACCACAGAGCCCUUUUGGCAGGGGGCGGGGUGGGGGGGAAUGCCUGCUUUACCAUCAGUAGCAGCAGGAUGCUGAUUCAGCAGAAAGAUGUCUGGACCAGGACAUGGUAGUGGGUGGUGUUCCAGGUCCCACCAUAAACUAGCUGGGAGGUCCUUGGGCAAGUCACAGCUCUCCCUAAGCCUCAGCUGCCCCGUGAAAUGAAUCCCAUAACUUCAGGCCUAUCUUCUUCAGGGGACCGUUGUGAGAGGGGACAACCACAGGGGACGUGUGAUAACCAUGUCACCUCUGAACAGGCCUGGUAGUCCCACCCCGUGAAACUACUGAUAAGCUGCUCACAGACCCUCCCUCCCCUAAACUAAUCACCAAGGCCCUUAUCCCACAGGCAUCAAACAGUCUCCACCUACCAGGCCUUCUCCUGAUGGGUUUGGGGAGGCUCUGAGGACAUUUGAGAAGGCAGAUGCAAUCAGUCCCUAGGCUUUCAACCAUGACCGCAAGAGUUCAACUUAGACAACACACAAAGCCAGUUCAGGCGCAAUCCCAGCAUUAUUGGGGAUACAGGAGGUGUCCGAGCUGCUGCCUCAUGGGCCUCAGAUCCACCCAAGAGACAGCAGGAUUGUGGCAUGGGGUCGGGCUACGCAGCAUGUAUGGCAUGGACCUGUUGGGAGGCUGUGGCCACUCGGGCCUGGGGCUGGGCGCCGAAGCCCUCCUGAGCCAUGCAAGAGAGGAGGUGGGAUUUGAGCCAGGCCAGAAAGCCGUGCUGUGAAUUCAGAGUCUCAGCGGAGUGGGCACGAGCCUUCUCAAAGCCAUCCUCCCAGCCUUCCCAAUGCCCUGCGUUCGUAAGACGAAUGGCUCCUGGGGUUAAAGGGCCUCUGGAGUGAGUUUCAAAUGGCUCGAUGUGAAGCGUUUGAGAACCACUGGGGUGCACUAGUUUAGUCUGGACAUUCGCCAUCACCACAACCACCACCGUUACCAUCUCUACCGUCAUCAUUAUUACCACUAUCUUCAACUGCACCACCAUUACUAUUACCACUGUCAUCAUCGCCAUCAUCACCACCACCAUGACCACCACUCUCAUCACCACCAUCAACUCCACCAGGACCUCCACCCCCAUUACUAUUACCACCACUUCCACCCACCAUCACUACCACCUUUACCAUCAGUGCCACCACCCCUGUCAUCACCAUCACCGCCUCCACCACCAUUACCACCAUUACCACCAUCCACUUCAUCACAUUUUCCACCUGCCUUUGAUCACACAGAGAUAAGAUUAUAAAGUCCAACUACUAGCACCUCUCCUCUCUUAACCGUCUGCACCCCAAAUAUUCAUCGUCAUGUCUGUCGGCUCAUAAUCAAAGAGACCAACCCAAGCCUGAUAUCAUACUAGGCUGAGCGUACAUUCUGGUUUGUCCAGUACAGUUCCAAAUCCUGCCUGUUGUCCCUGCUUCAUUAUUCACGGCUCCCCUCUUUCACUGUCAGCUACGUUUGCAUGACAUUAUAUUGUCACCCUAGUUUAACACCACAUCCCGCUUCUGAUUGAGUCCCACGAAGAUUAGCACCCCAAGGAUGCUGACCUGGAACAGAGCCUGGCGGGAAAACUAGGAGGGUGAGAUACCCCUCGCCAGGCAUCGAUAACUAAUGGAUACCCCUGCCUCCCCCUCCCUUGCCUUCCCGCUGCUGCACCGGCCCCCAGGAAACCCCUGAGAAAAGAGGAAAACGGCACCGGUGUUGCUGAGUAUCCCAUGACCUCCUCGCACAGCAACAAAGGGGUGGACGUGAACAGCGCCGUGGUGUGAGUCUGCAGGCCCUGGGCCGCUGGCCAGAGGGGCACCUCGGCGGCACUAGUGGACACAGGAAAGCAGGUGGACACGAGCUGACACUGGGCUUGUCGGGACUUCAUUGCCUUGCAGGCCUCGAGCCUCCCGAAGGAGAAACCAUACUCUGCCCAGCCUUGCCCCCUGGUCAGGCCGUGGGCAGGGGCAGCGGACACCAUGCUGAGCCAGGCUCACCUGCGUGCAGCACCCGGGGCAGCGCUGCCACCCGCGGCCCCAUCUCUUCCUUGUCUUGCGUUUGAUCCGUUGACUGUCUCCGGGCUGCUGUCUAAAGCACACGCUCUGAGAAGGCAGGGAGUCUGUCUGCUGGGGCGGGGAGGCAUCCCCCUUUAGCCAAAAGGAAACCUCUCCUCCCCCCCAGGAAGCCCGCCUGCUUCUUCCUUGACAAAGCUGUCCCCAGCAGAAGCCAAGGGCGCAUCCGUGAGACGUCCCCGUUCAAAGGUGCUUCCCACACAUCUGUCCGCCGCCCCGUCUGCAGCUGUCUCAGUCUUCAGGGCCUGCCUUCUCCCUCCCGUCCCCACCGACGCCUGGGGCCCCUGUCUGCUGACCCCCUGCCACGGAGGGCCGUGAGCCCAGCCUACAGAGUCCCCUCCGGACCCAGCAGAGGGGCCCAUUCACACCCCGGGGUGGAGUCUGGCCGUCCAGGGAAAAACGACUCACUGAACCUCAGACCCGGGGCCUGGGAAUGGCAGGGGCCACUACGCCUGUCCUCAGGUUCAUUCCCUCACCUGACCCUCAGAGGAACCAACGCUUCCAUGUGAGCCAGGCCCUGCCUUUCCCCCGGCAGAGGCUGCCACUUGUGCCAAACCCACCGCCGGCCCUCUGGGCUGGGCCCACCCUGCCUGGCGCUGGGGCCCCUGAUGCUCCCCUGAGGCCUGGUACCCAGACCCUUCCCUUAGAGUCUCCAGGCCUCCCGUCACCCAGAAGGAGGCAGUGUUCUUCCUGUGGCUUGCUUUGAAUGUCUUUUAUGUUCUAAAAGCGCUGAACCCUCCAGAGUGGUUGGUAGAUGAAGGGAAGAAAAGGAGAUGUGAGGAGAGGGACCCUCCAGGCCUGGUGACCCCCAUCUACUGGCCCGGUGACCCCCAUCGGCCAGCCUCUUUGGCAGUCGGCCACCUGCCCCGUGGGCACAUUGCUAGGCCCUUGGAGACAGCAGCCUUGUGGUUCUGCACAGCCCAUGCGCUGGGAGAACACGCCCCGCGGUUCCCUCACCGCCCACACACCUGCUGAGAAGGGACCCGACCCAGCCAGCGGCUCCACUGGCUGGCUAUGUAGGGACUUAGCCUGGGGACCCUGACCGCCUCCUAAGCCAUCAGUGUCGUUCUCUGGGGGGUGUUUGGGCCACAGGUGAGACUUUCCCAUCCAGGGGAGACUGAUAGACCGAAAACCAGUCCCCAUUUGGGCUGAACCUUGAAACAUCCAUUGUCCAGGAGCCCUGGUGCCCACGGAGUUGUCUGUGGGCCAAGCGCAGGGAAAAAGGUGAGUGUGCUGUGACCCUGACCAGGUCCUGCUCCCAGGUCAGCGGGUACAGGCUGAGGACAGGUCCAGGGCAGACUCUCCCAGAAAGGAUUUUUCCUGCUUUUCCAUUUUCCCCGUGCGUUGAGGCCUGAGUGUGGGUGUGGAUUGGAUUUUGCUCUCCCUGUGCACCUUAGCACAGGGCCACCUGUGGCCUGCAUCCCUGGUGAGCACGUGGCAGUACUCACGGUUCAUGCCCUCCAGUUCCCAAGGAUGCAGACCUGGGUGACAAGUGGGCCAGAGGCUGUGGGUCCUCAGCGGGGCACACCCCACCCCAGCGCACUUCCCCCACUGCCUGCAGCCUCCUGCUAAGUUCCCCCUGAUCCCUGAACAGAGACCCAGGCAGGACCCCAGCCCUAAGCACACGCCAUCCUGGGUUCGGAAGUGAUAGGAGAGCACCUUCAGGCAGAGGGAAGGAUCCGAGCUAAGGGAUCGUGGAGUGCUGGACAGCCAGUCUCGGGGGGACCCCGAGGGGGGCAGGUCACAGCACGGCUUUUGCACAAACCUACUGGUCCACCUUCCCCAACCCGAGCUUAAAUUUAGGAGGCCCGGAUUUUGCAAUUAGCCUAAUCCUCCAGCCCCGGCGAGGCUCCCCACGAGGAACCCCAGUGGACCAUCCAUCCAUCACUCUGGGGCCAGUAUCCCCUUCCCUGGAGACACACAGCCAGGGCUCCAUGAAAAGCUAACGUUUGUGCGUAAAUUCCCCCAAAUUGGGUUUGUCAAAUCUCCUCUCACCAGUUAGUGAAAACUAAGAGAAGGGCCCAGUUUUUAAAAGAGAAUUCACUUGAGAACAAACCCAGAACCGGCCAUUUGGAAGACAGCUGUCACGGGUGCAGGGGGAGAGCCCCACUGGAUUUUCAGCUUAAGCAACAGAAGCAACAAUAAAACUACCCCAGCCUGGUGUUUGAGCUUAGAACUUUAAUUUAAGGAGUGUAUCUGCAGCCCCUAAACACGGACCAAUCCUCAGACUAGUCUGAACUUUCGAGAACGAAAUGCACAUUCCUUCUCUGCAUUUUCUCAAAUAGGUAUUUUUCAACCGUCUCCUAGUUGAGCCCAACUUUCGAGUGGCAUAUAGAUCUCCCAGAGUUUUCAGGUGUUCCUUAGACGCUUCUAAAGUCAGUUUUAGAAGAAAGACUAAUAGCUGUAAAAAUAUAGACAUAUAUAUUAUAUAUAGUUAUAUAUAUAUAUUUAAAGAGAUAUCUAUAUCUAUAUCUAUAUAUAAUUACUGUACUCUCUGAAUCUGUACAAAGUAUGAUUUAAACAGCCCAGGUAGUGUGAGAUAUCCAAUGCAUGAAUGUAAAUACCCUGAGACCUGCCUUCCUAACCGUGUGCCGAGAGUACCCGGGAAGAUGGCUCUUAUUCCCAGGAGUUCUGUCUCAAUGGACAAAUACACGCAUCGGUGCCGUCUUGCCCACCAACAAGCCACCGAUGUCGACUCUGUGCUGAGAUGUUGCACAGGAAGCAGGACCGGCAGCGCUGGGCGUGGGCUCUGUGUUACUUACGACGAAGAAAGCAUCAUACCUUUUUAUUUUCAAUAAAAAUAUACUUAUAAA